rnacentral:rRNA from 1 species
AAUAUUGCACAAUGGGCGCAAGCCUGAUGCAGCCAUGCCGCGUGUAUGAAGAAGGCCUCGGGUUGUAAGUACUUUCAGCAGUGAGGAAGGUGGGUAUGUUAAUAGCAUACUCAUUUGACGUUAGCUGCAGAAGAAGCACCGGCUAACUCCGUGCCAGCAGCCGCGGUAAUACGGAGGGUGCGAGCGUUAAUCGGAAUUACUGGGCGUAAAGCGCAUGCAGGUGGUUUGUUAAGUCAGAUGUGAAAGCCCGGGGCUCAACCUCGGAAUUGCAUUUGAAACUGGCAAACUAGAGUACUGUAGAGGGGGUAGAAUUUCAGGUGUAGCGGUGAAAUGCGUAGAGAUCUGAAGGAAUACCGGUGGCGAAGGCGGCCCCCUGGACAGAUACUGACACUCAGAUGCGAAAGCGUGGGGAGCAAACAGGAUUAGAUACCCUGGUAG